rnacentral:rRNA from 1 species
UACGUAGGGUGCGAGCGUUACUCGGAAUUACUGGGCGUAAAGCGUGCGCAGGCGGUCUGUUAAGACCGAUGUGAAAUCCCCGGGCUUAACCUGGGAACUGCAUUGGUGACUGGCAGGCUUUGAGUGUGGCAGAGGGAGGUAGAAUUCCACGUGUAGCAGUGAAAUGCGUAGAGAUGUGGAGGAAUACCGAUGGCGAAGGCAGCCUCCUGGGCCAACACUGACGCUCAUGCACGAAAGCGUGGGGAGCAAACAGG